GGUCAUGAGUGCCAGCGACAAGCCCCGGCUCGCUGGCCGGCAACCCUCCAACCGCGGUGGGGUGCCCCGGGUGAAGACCAGGCGGAGCGUCGACCGGCGCCCGCAAGCACGGCAU
rfam:Janibacter sp. HTCC2649 scf_1099316001559 genomic scaffold, whole genome shotgun sequence.